rnacentral:misc_RNA from 1 species
GAUGAAGAACGCAGCGAAAUGCGAUAAGUAAUGUGAAUUGCAGAAUUCAGUGAAUCAUCGAAUCUUUGAACGCACAUUGCGCCCGCCUGUAUUCUGGCGGGCAUGCCUGUCCGAGCGUCAUUUCAACCCUCGAACCCCUCCGGGGGGUCGGCGUUGGGGAUCGGCCCUGCCUCUUGGCGGUGGCCGUCUCCGAAAUACAGUGGCGGUCUCGCCGCAGCCUCUCCUGCGCAGUAGUUUGCACACUCGCAUCGGGAGCGCGGCGCGUCCACAGCCGUUAAACACCCAACUUCUGAAAUGUUGACCUCGGAUCAGGUAGGAAUACCCGCUGAACUUAAGCAUAUCAAUAAGCGGAGGA